GAUGAACGCUGGCGGCGUGCCUAACACAUGCAAGUCGAGCGGAAAUUAGUGGGUGCUUGCACCUGCUAAUUUUAGCGGCGGACGGGUGAGUAACGCGUGGGCAACCUGCCCUGUACACAGGAAUAACAAUGAGAAAUCAUUGCUAAUGCCUGAUAAGCUUACAUUAUCGCAUGAUAAAGUAAGAAAAGAUUUAUCGGUACAGGAGGGGCCCGCGACUGAUUAGCUAGUUGGUGGGGUAAAGGCUCACCAAGGCGACGAUCAGUAGCCGACCUGAGAGGGUGAUCGGCCACAUUGGGACUGAGACACGGCCCAAACUCCUACGGGAGGCAGCAGUGGGGAAUAUUGCACAAUGGGGGAAACCCUGAUGCAGCAACGCCGCGUGAAGGAUGAAGGUUUUCGGAUCGUAAACUUCUAUCAACGGGGAAGAAAAAAAUGACGGUACCCGAAUAAGAAGCCCCGGCUAACUACGUGCCAGCAGCCGCCGUAACAC
rnacentral:rRNA from 1 species